GGGCCGAUAGCUCAAUGGUAGAGCACCCGCCUUGCACGCGGGAGGUUAAGGGUUCGAGUCCCUUUCGGUCCA
rnacentral:tRNA from 1 species